rnacentral:rRNA from 1 species
UUGGAGGGCAAGUCUGGUGCCAGCAGCCGCGGUAAUUCCAGCUCCAAUAGCGUAUAUUAAAGUUAUUGCAGUUAAAAAGCUCGUAGUUGAAUUUCGAGAUCAAUUUGUCGGUCGUGCCUCGGUAUGUACUGGCAUUAUUGAUUUCUCCCUUCUGAAGAACCGCGAUGUCAUUAAUUUGGUGUCGUGGGGAAUCAGGACUGUUACUUUGAAAAAAUUAGAGUGUUUAAAGCAGGCGCACGCUUGAAUACAUUAGCAUGGAAUAAUGAAAUAGGACGUUUGAUUCUAUUUUGUUGGUUUCUAGGAUCGACGUAAUGAUUAAUAGGGAUAGUUGGGGGCAUUAGUAUUCAAUUGUCAGAGGUGAAAUUCUUGGAUUUAUUGUAGACUAACUACUGCGAAAGCAUUUGCCAAGGAUGUUUUCAUUAAUCAAGAACGAAAGUUAGGGGAUCGAAGACGAUCAGAUACCGUCGUAGUCUUAACCAUAAACUAUGCCGACUAGGGAUCGGAUGAUGUUAAUUUUUUAAUGACUCAUUCGGCGCCUUACGGGAAAC